AGCGAACGCUGGCGGCAGGCCUAACACAUGCAAGUCGAACGAACUCUUCGGAGUUAGUGGCGGACGGGUGAGUAACACGUGGGAACGUGCCUUUAGGUUCGGAAUAACUCAGGGAAACUUGUGCUAAUACCGAGUGUGCCCUUCGGGGGAAAGAUUUAUCGCCUUUAGAGCGGCCCGCGUCUGAUUAGCUAGUUGGUGAGGUAAAGGCUCACCAAGGCGACGAUCAGUAGCUGGUCUGAGAGGAUGAUCAGCCACAUUGGGACUGAGACACGGCCCAAACUACUACGGGAGGCAGCAGUGGGGAAUCUUGCGCAAUGGGCGAAAGCCUGACGCAGCCAUGCCGCGUGAAUGAUGAAGGUCUUAGGAUUGUAAAAUUCUUUCACCGGGGACGAUAAUGACGGUACCCGGAGAAGAAGCCCCGGCUAACUUCGUGCCAGCAGCCGCAGUAA
rnacentral:rRNA from 1 species